rnacentral:rRNA from 1 species
UACAGAGGUCCCAAGCGUUGUUCGGAUUCACUGGGCGUAAAGGGUGCGUAGGCGGCAUGGUAAGUUUGAUGUGAAAUCUCCGGGCUUAACCCGGAAAUGGCAUUGAAUACUACUGUGCUGGAGGUUUGGAGGGGGGACUGGAAUUCUCGGUGUAGCAGUGAAAUGCGUAGAUAUCGAGAGGAACACCAGUGGCGAAGGCGAGUCCCUGGACAACACCUGACACUGAGGCACGAAAGCUAGGGGAGCAAACAGG